CGUGGGUAACCUACCCACCAGAGGGGGAUAACACUUGGAAACAGGUGCUAAUACCGCAUAACAGUUUAUGCCGCAUGGCAUAAGAGUGAAAGGCGCUUUCGGGUGUCGCUGAUGGAUGGACCCGCGGUGCAUUAGCUAGUUGGUGAGGUAACGGCUCACCAAGGCCACGAUGCAUAGCCGACCUGAGAGGGUGAUCGGCCACACUGGGACUGAGACACGGCCCAG
rnacentral:rRNA from 1 species